rnacentral:rRNA from 1 species
CUGGCUCAGGAUGAACGCUGGCGGCGUGCUUAACACAUGCAAGUCGAACGGAGUUUUUAAGUGGAAGUUUUCGGAUGGAAGUUUAAGAACUUAGUGGCGGACGGGUGAGUAACGCGUGGGUAACCUGCCUCAUACAGGGGGAUAACAGUUAGAAAUGACUGCUAAGACCGCAUAAUAUAGCGAAACCGCAUGAUUUUGCUAUCAAAUAUUUAUAGGUAUGAGAUGGGCCCGCGUCUGAUUAGCUAGUUGGUGGGGUAAAAGCCUACCAAGGCGACGAUCAGUAGCCGGCUUGAGAGAGUGACCGGCCACAUGGACUGAGACACGGCCCAAACUCCUACGGGAGGCAGCAGGUGGGAAUAUUGGACAAUGGGGGAAACCCUGAUCCAGCCGACGCCGCGUGAGUGAAGAAGUAUUUCGGUAUGUAAAGCUCUAUCAGCAGGGAAGAUAAUGACAGUACCUGACUAAGAAGCCCCGGCUAACUACGUGCCAGCCGCCGC